rnacentral:rRNA from 1 species
AUACGACCUACGGGAGAAAGGGGGCAGUUUACUGCUCUCGCUAUUAGAUGAGCCUAAGUCGGAUUAGCUAGUUGGUGGGGUAAAGGCCUACCAAGGCGACGAUCUGUAGCUGGUCUGAGAGGAUGAUCAGCCACACCGGGACUGAGACACGGCCCGGACUCCUACGGGAGGCAGCAGUGGGGAAUAUUGGACAAUGGGGGGAACCCUGAUCCAGCCAUGCCGCGUGUGUGAAGAAGGCCUUUUGGUUGUAAAGCACUUUAAGCAGUGAAGAAGACCUAACGGUUAAUACCCGUUAGCGAUGACAUUAGCUGCAGAAUAAGCACCGGCUAACUCUGUGCCAGCAGCCGCGGUAAUACAGAGGGUGCAAGCGUUAAUCGGAAUUACUGGGCGUAAAGCGAGCGUAGGUGGCUUGAUAAGUCAGAUGUGAAAUCCCCGGGCUUAACCUGGGAACUGCAUCUGAUACUGUUAAGCUAGAGUAGGUGAGAGGGAAGUAGAAUUCCAGGUGUAGCGGUGAAAUGCGUAGAGAUCUGGAGGAAUACCGAUGGCGAAGGCAGCUUCCUGGCAUCAUACUGACACUGAGGCUCGAAAGCGUGGGUAGCAAACAGGAUUAGAUACCCUGGUAGUCCACGCCGUAAACGAUGUCUACUAGUCGUUGGGUCCCUUGAGGACUUAGUGACGCAGCUAACGCAAUAAGUAGACCGCCUGGGGAGUACGGCCGCA